AGCCACGUAGUGCAUACAAAGCGAACUAUUCUUUCGCCUUUUACUAAAUAAUACUGUGUAUUCGCGCCACUAAAGUGGCAUACGCUUAUUUUUGGAGAGACACUUCAACAAUUGAAGGGU
rfam:Helianthus annuus linkage group 5, whole genome shotgun sequence.